GCCUAGGUAGCUUGGAGGGCAGCGCGUCUGCCUUGUAAGCGCUAGGCCGCGGGUUCGAUUCCCGCCCGGGGCG
rfam:Asian citrus Psyllid, Diaphorina citri - Florida Strain, whole genome shotgun sequence.